rnacentral:rRNA from 1 species
CCUACGGGUGACAGCAGUGAGGAAUAUUGGUCAAUGGUCGGGAGACUGAACCAGCCAAGCCGCGUGAGGGAGGAAGGUACAGAGUAUCGUAAACCUCUUUUGUCAGGGAACAAAGACUGGGACGCGUCCCCGGAUGAGUGUACCUGAAGAAAAAGCAUCGGCUAACUCCGUGCCAGCAGCCGCGGUAAUACGGGGGAGGCGAGCGGUAUCCGGAUUUAUUGGGGUUAAAGGGUGCGCAGGCGGUGUUUUAAGUCAGCGGUGAAAGCGCGGGGCUCAACCCGGGCCCGCCGUUGAAACUGGCGGUCUGGAGUGGGAGAGAAGUAUGCGGAAUGCGCGGUGUAGCGGUGAAAUGCAUAGAUAUCGCGCAGAACUCCGAUUGCGAAGGCAGCAUGCCGGCUCCAGACUGACGCUGAGGCACGAAAGCGUGGGGAUCGAACAGGAUUAGAUACCCGGGUAGUC